rnacentral:tRNA from 1 species
GACUUUGUAGCUCAGAAGUUAGAGCGUUGUUCUAGAAAUGCAAAGGUCGCGGGUUCGAUUCCCAACCGUGGUCA